GGCUCACAGUGUUAAAUCAGUGGGAAGCAUCAUUCACUGCCAGACAGGUAGCUCAGAAGCAUCCGCACCCUUCACAAACGAUUCAAAAAUUCCCGCAUUUGAGAGAUGAACACGGAUAUCAAUUAAUUGAUAUUGAUUACCGUUUACUGCGGACUGAUUUCUCAACUGACGCGAACGAGGUUGCUCGAAACUGGGAAGCAUUAGUGCAACCUUUUUGCAAAUACAUUUCAAAGAACGCUAAGGAUCCUUCAACCAAAGGUCUUCUCGAGGCAAUUACAAACAGUGAUUUGUCAAUAGAUGCCCGAAUUCCAGCAAUCCUUCUUGCGCUAAACACUGUUUUAAUCCCAGUGAAAGUUGCACCUGGAUUCAAACCAACAAUCGCUACGGCGCAAGCAGACACUGUAUUUUUCGCGACAGAUAGAGACGAAGC